CAGUAGCCGCGGGAACACGGAGGGUGCAAGCGUUAUCCGGAUUUAUUGGGUUUAAAGGGUCCGUAGGCGGAUCUGUAAGUCAGUGGUGAAAUCUCACAGCUUAACUGUGAAACUGCCAUUGAUACUGCAGGUCUUGAGUAAAUUUGAAGUGGCUGGAAUAAGUAGUGUAGCGGUGAAAUGCAUAGAUAUUACUUAGAACACCAAUUGCGAAGGCAGGUCACUAGAUUUAACUGACGCUGAGGUACGAAAGCAUGGGGAGCAAACAGGAUUAGAUACCCGCGUAGUCCCUGUCUCUUAUACA
rnacentral:rRNA from 1 species